CUGCCAGAACAUCCCUUCCACUUGCCAAGUUGCCAUUGCGGGCGCUUGGCUCUACUACCAUAGCUUGCUUAGGAGCUUGGCCCUGGGUCUACACUGCUGUUGUUUCAGAGAAAGCGCGGCUACGAGUCACACACACUCUGGAUGCCUCGAUCGCGCCAAGGUGUUUGGUGUAGCGUGCUAUAGCACGCUGCAGACACGCACGCAAAGUGUUCGACGAAACGCCGGCCAGUGACAGUGCCAAUCAGCUACCAUGUCUUCGCCGGUACUAUGCUCCCUGUCGGUCUGCCUGUUCUACUGUGGUGAAUUCCAUUCCAUUCUAUCCCAUAAUUGUGAUGCCGCUGUCCAUUAAUAUAAUGUCUGAUCCCAUCAUCAACAGUUUUAGCCUCCUCUCACCUUGUCCACGCAGCUGUACUUCCACAGUGGCUGGCCAUUCGGAUUGGAGCAUCUCAAUGCUUUAGGACCAAUUAAUUUCUUGUUAUCUGACAAGACUGUAUCUUUCUGGUUGGUAUGCCGGGCUUCAUGUCCUCCACUAUGCGAGCACAGCGUCUGUGCCGUGGGCAUCAGCUGGUCACCACCGAAGCUCCACACUGGUGCCUCCACAGCAUGCAGAUGCCAAGUAAAUCUAAUCGACUGUCUUUCAAGUGGCAAGCAGCAUCCUUUUCCAGAGUAUAAAUUGCGCAGCAUCCGGGGAGCUGUAUGGUCUGGACUGGAGUCGCCUUUUCUCAUGUUCUUCGACACCAGAAUUCAGCUCACUCCGUUACCAGCCUCGGUGCUUCAUAGGUUGAAGGCUUCUCAGGGGAGGUUUUCACCUGUGCCAUCACUUGGAGGAACCGUUGAAAGUGGCUUUUCAUCGACAAGCAGCAAUAUCUGUCUGCCUUGACUAACUGCUGUUUAUGCGCACCUCUAUGAGGAUCUAUCUCGCAACAAGUGCGCUCAAAGUGUCUGCACAAAGUGGUAGUGACUUCCAAGAACUUUGCAUUUCCCCUAGUCUCACGCGGUGAUGUAAUUGGCCAUGGAGUGGAGCAUUUCCAUUCCAUCAGUGAACAAAACCUUUCAAAAGGUGGAAUCAUGUCACUAUUUUGCUGGUCUAUGCUAUGACAACUUUCUCGCACGCAACGCGGGAAUUCAAAGGAGAUAACAUCUUGUGAUCGAAAGUUGGCAAAAGGAAAAGGCCAGAAGUAGAUUUCACAAAUGGGGUUCUAGAAAUUUUGGGCUCGCCUUGAUCCCGUCAUUCAUAAGAGCAGUGGCAGUAAAAGAGAGAAGGGAGAGGACUAGGAGAGCAUGAUGGCGGUGAAGGACUCAAGAGAACAAAUGGGCCCGUGGGGGAGGCCCGCGUGAGCCACAACAGAGGGGGCAGGAGGACGUAUCGCUCACAGCAUGUGGGCCCGUUUCUGUUGCCGUGGGUCACGCUGGGCUUUUUUACUUGCGGUGGGUCCGGUCUCUCCACGGCUCAGACACUUCACAUGACCGUUGUCUUGGGGGUGCCACGUGGGCCCCAUACGGUCGUAGGGCAUCAUCUCCCUCCCACGUGUGGUGUGUACGCAGCCAUCCACCUGGUUAGUAGCGUGCAUGCAUGCAUGCUUGCACUGCUCUACCGGCCAUAUUGUAUGAAAGCUGGUAGAGUUUUCUUUUCUGGAAAUCCUUGGACCUAGCUAGGUGUUAACUACGUCGACUAGCAUGCAUGAUAGUGAGAUGAAUUAUUAUUCAUGACAAGGGUGCCGCGACAAGUUAAGCUAGCUAGCGAAGAAGGGCCAUCGUCCGUCCCCUCCUGGCCUGGCUGAAUUCGGUAGCUAGGCUGACCAUGGACCACGGAUGUUUUCAUCUUUCUCUGCUCUUCUUGCAGUCGAUGUCCAACCAGAACGAAGAUAAUGGUCCUUCAAGUUGGACGUUUCAGCAAGGAGGAGCUAGCUAGAGACCUCUGCAACUACAAACAUUUUAGCCGUCUUGCUUGAA